AAGAUACUCCUUCCGUCCCAUAUUAAGUGACUCUAAUUUGUCAAAAUAUGAAUGUAUCUAUAGUAUCUAUACUAAAAAAGUGUCUAGAUACAUCUAAUAAAAUGUCACUUAAUAUGGGACGGAGGGAGUAUAUG
rfam:Brachypodium distachyon strain Bd21 chromosome 5, whole genome shotgun sequence.